AUGCGCGGGAGGUUCCCCGGCGACCUGCCCCCGCUCGAUGGACUCCGCUUCUUGAACGUCUCGUACAACAACCUGUCCGGCGCGGUGAACGCCAGCGCGGUGAAGAGGUUCGGGCCCUCGGCGUUCGUCCACGCCGGCAAUGCUUCGUUGGUGUUCUCGAAGGACUCCCCUGCGCGGCCCAGGCGGCCUCCGCCGCCACCGCGAACAAAUGGAAAGAAGGAUCACGCGAGGACGGCAAAGAGCACGGCAACGAAAAGGAAAAGGAAGAAGCAUCUGGGCGUGGUCGCCGUGGCGAUCGUGUGCGGGGUGGCGUCCGUGAUCGUCCUGCUCUGCUUGGUCGGAUCCGUGGCGUGCGGGGUGGUGAGGUGCCGGAGCAGGAAGCACGGAGACAAGGAGGCGGAGGAGAAGAAGGUGCAGUGGGGCGAGAAGGAAGAAGACGAGGUGGUUGUGGCGGCGGCAGCAGGAAAGGGGGCAUCGGCCGCGCCGGUGGUGCUCUUCGAGCGGCCGCUCAUGGAGCUGACGCUGGCCGACCUCGCCGCGGCCACUUCCGGCUUCGGGCGCGAGUCCCAGCUCGCGGAGCGCGGUGGCCGCAGCGGCGCCGCGUACCGCGCCGUUCUGCCUGGGGACCUGCACGUCGUCGUGCGCGUCGUGGAGGGCGCCAUGGCCGGGGUCGGGGAGGACGACAACCCGGCCGCCGCGGCCGCGGCGUUCCGGGAACUCGCGCGGCUCCGGCACCCCAACAUCCUUCCGCUCAUCGGAUACUGCAUUGCAGGGAGGGAGAAGCUGCUGCUGUACGAGUACAUGGAGAAAGGCGACCUCCACCGGUGGCUGCACGAGCUGGAGCUGCCGGCGGGGCGGCCGGACUUGGACGACACCGGCGGCGACAUCUGGGAGGCGGCGGAGGACAGGCGGUCGAUAUCCGACUGGCCGACGCGGCACCGGAUCGCGCUGGGCGUCGCCCGGGGCCUGGCGUUCCUGCACCAGGGGUGGGCCGGGUCCGGCCGGGCCGUGGUGCACGGCCACCUGGUCCCGACCAACGUGCUCCUCAGCGACGACCUGGAGCCCCGGAUCUCCGACUUCGGGCACCUCAGCGGCGGCGACGGCGACGACAACGCGACGCCGGAAGCGGACGUGUACGGGUUCGGCGCGCUGGUGCUGGAGCUGAUGACGGGGCAGGCAAGGUGGGACGAGGCGUCGGUGAGCUGGGCGCGCGGGCUCGUCCGCGACGGCAAGGGGCUGGACAUCGUGGACCCGCGGGUGCACGGCGGCGAGGCGGCGGAGCGGGAGAUGGUGGAGUGCCUGCGCGUGGGGUACCUGUGCACGGCGCACUCGCCGGACAAGCGGCCGACGAUGCAGCAGGUGGUGGGCGUGCUCAAGGACAUCCGGCCUCGCCCGCUCGACGGCGGCGGCGACGCGUGA
rnacentral:rRNA from 1 species